UAAAGAAUUUGAUGUUCUUCUCAGGUGGAAAUUGAACUUAGCUAGAUUUCCUGUUCUUGCGGAGAUGGCUCGUGAUGUAUUAGCUAUUCCGAUUUCAAGUAAGGAAUUCGAAUUUGCGUUUAGUAUGGAGGACAUCUUCUUGAUUCAUUUAGGAGUUCAUUAACUCCUAAAUUGGUGCAAGCUCUAGUGUGUCUUCAAGAUUUGCUUCGAAAAAAAAAAUUAAAACAACCUGUUAGUGUUAAGGAAGAUCUUGAUAAAAUCGAGCAGCUUGAACAAGAUUUAGCUAGUGAUGGAAAGACCCUUCCGUAAUUUGUGUUAAUAUAUCUGGUACAAGGGCGGCCUUUCGGUUUAGAGCUUUGUGAAGUUGUUUGACAGGGGAAUUAGUUGAGUUUCUUGCAAGUGAUUUCAAGUUUCUUCCUAUGUUAUUGAAGGUAUCACCGGAAAAAUGAAAAUCUGAGCCUUAUUCAUUA